rnacentral:rRNA from 1 species
AUACGGAGGGGGCUAGCGUUGUUCGGAAUUACUGGGCGUAAAGCGCACGUAGGCGGACUGAUCAGUUGGGGGUGAAAUCCCAGGGCUCAACCCUGGAACUGCCUCCAAUACUGUCAGUCUUGAGAUCGGAAGAGGUGAGUGGAAUUCCUAGUGUAGAGGUGAAAUUCGUAGAUAUUAGGAGGAACACCAGUGACGAAGGCGGCUCACUGGUCCGAUACUGACGCUGAGGUGCGAAAGCGUGGGGAGCAAACAGGAUUAGAAACCCUAGUAGUCC